UACGAAGGGGGCUAGCGUUGCUCGGAAUCACUGGGCGGAAAGGGUGCGUAGGCGGGUCUUUAAGUCAGGGGGGAAAUCCUGGAGCUCAACUCCAGAACUGCCUUUGAUACUGAGGAUCUUGAGUUCGGGAGAGGUGAGUGGAACUGCGAGUGUAGAGGUGAAAUUCGUAGAUAUUCGCAAGAACACCAGUGGCGAAGGCGGCUCACUGGCCCGGUACUGACGCUGAGGUGCGAAAGCGUGGGGAGCAAACAGG
rnacentral:rRNA from 1 species